ACCUACCGCUGCCAAUCUACCUACUGCUGCCAACCUAUCUAUCACUGCUAAUCUAUCACUGCUAAUCUAUCACUGCUAAUCUAUCGCUGCCAACCUACCUACCACUGCCAACCUACCUACCACUGCCAACCUAUCUAUCGCUGCCAACCUAUAUAGGGUAAAUCAUGGUCCCAUUUGGUCCCAUUUUGUAAAAUGGGACCAAAUGGGACCAGAAUCACUAAUUUAUUAGUAAAACAUGAUCUGGGACUAGAUUUAUAAUAUAAACAGUGUAAAGUGACUAAUUUGCUAAACACUAUAUGGGACCAGGACUAAGAUAUCUAAUAAUGGGACUGAGGAAAAAUUUGGUCCCAGUCCCAUGCAUGGUCACACGGCCAGUCUAAUCUUGAUUAUGAUAUAUAUCAGAGAUUCUAUAAUACAGAGAGAUUCAAUAAAUUUGUAUAUAUUCAGAUACUGUUCAAAUGUCAACAAGAUUAUCACUAUUUAGUGAUAAAUAAUUACUUUUUUUAUUAUUUAUAAGCACUG
rnacentral:sRNA from 2 species